rnacentral:lncRNA from 1 species
CAUGUCUCUAUGGUUUCCUUGCUGCCCUACAGUCAGUCAGUCAGUCCAUUAUGCUGUGGGUGAGGUUAACAACAUGUCUCUAUAGUUUCCUUGCUGCCCUACAGUCAGUCAGUCAGUCCAUUAUGCUGUGGGUAAGGUUAACAACAUGUCUCUAUAGUUUCCUUGCUGCCCUACAGUCAGUCAGCCAGUCCAUUAUGCUGUGGGUAAGGUUAACAACAUGUCUCUAUAGUUUCAUUGCUGCCCUACAGUCAGUCAGUCAGUCCACUAUGCUGUGGGUGAGGUUAACAACAUGUCUCUAUAGUUUCCUUGCUGCCCUACAGUCAGUCAGCCAGUCCAUUAUGCUGUGGGUAAGGUUAACAACAUGUCUCUAUAGUUUCAUUGCUGCCCUACAGUCAGUCAGUCAGUCCACUAUGCUGUGGGUGAGGUUAACAACAUGUCUCUAUAGUUUCCUUGCUGCCCUACAGUCAGUCAGUCAGUCCAUUAUGCUGUGGGUGAGGUUAACAACAUGUCUCUAUGGUUUCCUUGCUGCCCUACAGUCAGUCAGUCCAUUAUGCUGUGGGUAAGGUUAACAACAUGUCUCUAUAGUUUCCUUGCUGCCCUACAGUCAGUCAGUCCAUUAUGCUGUGGGUGAGGUUAACAACAUGUCUCUAUAGUUUCCUUGCUGCCCUACAGUCAGUCAGUCAGUCCAUUAUGC